GUGGGGAAUAUUGGACAAUGGGCGCAAGCCUGAUCCAGCAAUGCCGCGUGGGUGAAGAAGGUCUUCGGAUCGUAAAGCCCUUUCGACAGGGACGAUGAUGACGGUACCUGUAGAAGAAGCCCCGGCUAACUUCGUGCCAGCAGCCGCGGUAAUACGAAGGGGGCUAGCGUUACUCGGAAUUACUGGGCGUAAAGGGCGCGUAGGCGGCUCUGUUAGUCAAGCGUGAAAUUCCUGGGCUUAACCUGGGGACUGCGCUUGAUACUGCAGGGCUUGAGGCCGAGAGAGGGUGGUGGAAUUCCCAGUGUAGAGGUGAAAUUCGUAGAUAUUGGGAAGAACACCGGUGGCGAAGGCGACCACCUGGCUCGGUUCUGACGCUGAGGCGCGACAGCGUGGGGAGCAAACAGGAUUAGAAACCCCGGUAGUCC
rnacentral:rRNA from 1 species